AUUGAACGCUGGCGGCAGGCCUAACACAUGCAAGUCGAACGAGUGGCGGACGGGUGAGUAAUGUCUGGGAAACUGCCUGAUGGAGGGGGAUAACUACUGGAAACGGUAGCUAAUACCGCAUACCAUCAGAUGUGCCCAGAUGGGAUUAGCUUGUUGGUGGGGUAACGGCUCACCAAGGCGGCGAUCCCUAGCUGGUCUGAGAGGAUGACCAGCCACGCGGGAGAUGAGACACGGUCCAGACUCCUACGGGAGGCAGCAGUGGGGAAUAUUGCACAAUGGGCGCAAGCCUGAUGCAGCCAUGCAGAGUGUAUGAAGAAGGCCUUAGGGUUGUAAAGUACUUUCAGCGGGGAGGCGUUACCAGCAGAAGAAGCACCGGCUAACUCCGUGCCAGCAGCCGCGGUAAUUC
rnacentral:rRNA from 1 species